AUUGAACGCUGGCGGAAUGCUUUACACAUGCAAGUCGAACGGUAGAGGGGCAACCCUUGAGAGUGGCGAACGGGUGAGUAAUGUAUCGGAACAUGCCCAGUCGUGGGGGAUAACGUAGCGAAAGUUACGCUAAUACCGCAUACGAUCUAUGGACGAAAGCGGGGGAUCGCAAGACCUCGCGCGAUUGGAGUGGCCGAUAUCAGAUUAGGUAGUUGGUGGGGUAAAGGCCUACCAAGCCGACGAUCUGUAGCUGGUCUGAGAGGACGACCAGCCACACUGGGACUGAGCCACGCCCCAGACUCCUACGGGAGGCAGCAGUGGGGAAUUUUGGACAAUGGGCGAAAGCCUGAUCCAGCCAUUCCGCGUGCAGGAAGAAGGCCUUCGGGUUGUAAACUGCUUUUGUACGGAACGAAACGCGCUGUGCUAAUACCACGGCGUAAUGACGGUACCGUAAGAAUAAGCACCGGUUAACUACGUGCCAGCCGCCGCCGUAACAC
rnacentral:rRNA from 1 species